rnacentral:lncRNA from 1 species
CCCUUGCUCUAUUGCCGACUCGGAGAGUGAUCUCAUCUUCUCUCAGCCCCCUAACUUUUUCAAGAUCCUACAUUAAAGUGCACAAGUGAGCACUUGAACCAGAAUCAAGAACCCAACUAGAAGAAGAGAAAACUAUUAGAUUAGUUUCAAUAACGAGCAACUCAGAUGUACCUUCAAAAGGUCCAUCCUUCUUCUUACUCUUGACAGUCGCCAG